rnacentral:rRNA from 1 species
GUCCUGGUUCGCUGGGGCCUGAGUGGCGCACGGGUGAGUAGCGCGUGGGAACCUGCCCUGGAGUGGGGGAUAACCGAGGGAAACUUCGGCUAAUACCGCAUGCGCCGGAGAGAUCCGGGAAAGAUUUAUCGCUCUAGGAGGGGCCCGCGUCUGAUUAGCUAGUUGGCGGGGUAAUGGCCCACCAAGGCGACGAUCAGUAGCUGGUCUGAGAGGAUGAUCAGCCACACUGGGACUGAGACACGGCCCAGACUCCUACGGGAGGCAGCAGUGGGGAAUAUUGGACAAUGGGCGCAAGCCUGAUCCAGCAAUGCCGCGUGAGUGAUGAAGGCCUUAGGG